AGAAACCCUGGAAUUAAAAAAGGGCAAUCCUGAGCCACUAACUUAUAGCUUUAUUCCCUAACUUAUAGUAUUUA
rnacentral:tRNA from 1 species